rnacentral:piRNA from 1 species
UUCGACGUGUUUUUUAAUACA